rnacentral:rRNA from 1 species
GACGAACGCUGGCGGCGCGCUUAACACAUGCAAGUCGAGCGAAUCGGCGGACGGGUGAGUAACACGUGCGUAACCUGCCUUAGACAUUGGGAUAGCCUCUGUCAACCGGGAUUAAUACCAAAUGGUCUAAGGUGGACUCGCGUCCCAUUAGCGAGUUGGUGAGGUAACGGCCCACCAAGGCGACGAUGGGUAGCCGGCCUGAGAGGGUGAACGGCCACAUUGGAACUGAGAAACGGUCGAAACGCUACGGGAGGCAGAAGUGGGGAAUAGUGCAAAAUGGAGGGAACUCUGAUGCAGCGAGGCCGCGUGAACGAAGAAGGCUGUCGAGUCGUAAAGUUCUUUUAUAUGGGAAGCGGUACCAUAAGAAAAAGCCCCGGCUAACUACGUGCCAGCAGCCGCGGUAAUAC